UACAGAGGUCCCAAGCGUUGUUCGGAUUCAUUGGGCGUAAAGGGUGCGUAGGCGGCGCGGUAAGUCGGGUGUGAAAUCUCGGAGCUUAACUCCGAAACUGCAUUCGAUACUGCCGUGCUUGAGGACUGGAGAGGAGACUGGAAUUUACGGUGUAGCGGUGAAAUGCGUAGAUAUCGUAAGGAAGACCAGUGGCGAAGGCGGGUCUCUGGACAGUAACUGACGCUGAGGAGCGAAAGCGUGGGGAGCGAACAGG
rnacentral:rRNA from 1 species